CCUACUACGAUAGUAUGAUCUGAUAAAUAUAUUUAUAAUAAUGUAAUGUAAAGAAGAAUAUUUUGUCGAUUGGAUCGAUGGAAAUACCUAAAUCCAUUGUAUUGACGAUAUCAUACAUCAACACGUAAUGGGGUACUUAAAUACGCAAUGUGUGUAAGUGUGUUGUACAAUAACAACAGAAUCAAUUCAUUUCCUAUUCGGACACUCAUGGACCAGUGUUCUUUUUUUAUUAUAAACAACUGCUAAAUAUUGAAUUUUAGUUUCAACUUCGGACAGUUGAACAGUGGUGGACAACAAAGUGGCCGUAUCGGUAGCAGGAGUAGGAGUUAGAAUUUAUAACAAAAGAUGCUACAACUGCCACAGAUUCGGCCACGUCGCCAAAUAUUGCAGAAUGCCAAUCAAGCCUACAAUCAUAGUGGAAGAGGUGGUGGUGGUGCUAGAUAAGGCUGAGGAAGGAGUGGCGGCCACUACCUGUAAAAUGCAGAAAUAGCCAUUGAUGAAGAAAACGUGGAAACGAAAGCAAUUGAUAUGGUGAGGCCCUUUUUUGAAAAUCUUAUUUAUUGUUUUGUAUAUUUUUUGCAGAAUGAAUAAAUUUUUUUUUUUUGUUUUACAAUUC